AGCAUUAAGUGUAUGUCACAUACAGUGAAAUGUGACAAAAAAAGGCCAAAAUAUAUUUUAAAUAUGUGCUAAAUAUAUGUUGUACAUAGAGAUGCACCGAUAUAUCGGUCAAUAAUCGGUAUCGGCCAAUAAAAGCAAAUUUUCUAGCCGAUAGCUUAAAAACAACCGACAGUCAGAGCCGAUAUAUCCUGUCAAUCAAAAAUGGGCAGGAAAAUGCACUGAAUUUGGGCUUUGUAUAGAGAAAAUGCUAAGAAGCCAGUUUGAUGUUCAAUAUUAGUAGUAAUUAUAUGAAUUAAUAACAUUAGGAAAGUUAAGAAAUAAUAAUUUAAUCUUCAGAAUUUAGUUAAUGUGUGUUAAUAUUAAUUUGAGUAAUGUGUUUGUUUAUAACUGAUACCAGUUACUCUGAAACAAGUUGAUGAAAUGGAGAGAAUAAAGUUUUUAUUUGCAUUUCUUUCAAAGAAAGAGAAAUAUAAUGAUGAAUUAUUAAUAAUAAUGAAAUUAUCAUUACCCCCGAACUAUGUAUCGGUAUCGGCAGAUAUCACUCUGAAUAAUCGGCUAUCGGUAUCGGUGGAGAAAUUUAGUAUCGGUGCAUCUCUACUUGUAAACUGUUAAGUUCAAUGAAAUAUAUUUUUGAAAUUGAAAAUAUAUUUCGUUUUAGCCUUCAUAGAUCAAAAUAUACAGGCUAAAUGCAAUGUGGAUGGAGAUCAAAACUAGUAUCCAAAUGAAAAUUUAUAAUGAAAAAUGUGUUUAUAGUAUCGUUUAUAGUAGAGAGAACUUUUUUAUUGAAUUGUGUUGAAAUGUUCAUGCGUUACAGACAUCAAUUAAAGCUUUUUUUUUUUUUUUAAAUGUGACAAAUGUGAAAGUAUUUUCUUGGAUUGAAAUAUAAUAUGAAGGGCAAAUAUAAUGCCUUUAUUAUUCUAUUAAAAUAUAUUUUCAAAAAACUAUUCAUAGAAAAUAUAUUUAUAUAAAUACAUAGUAGCAAUUUUUUGGCUAUAUAUAUUUGGCUAUAUAGCUGCUGUGCAGUUUAGUCCAUGCAGUAAAAUCCUUUUUUUUUAAAUAUAUUUUUAAAUAUAGACCUCAUCACGCUUAUGAAAAUAAAAACAACAAUCCAAACUAUACAACAGUAAAAAACAAAGUUUUUUGCAAUGUAAAUACUUUUACUGUCUUCCCAGUGCCACAGCACGUUUCUCCAGAGCAUUUGUUGACAGUAAAUAGCCUCUCUUGGCAAUCUCUUUGCCCCCGGGAUAUGAAAUAGGUGACACAUUACCUCUCAGACAGACGGCAGGGAUUGCGGUGAGAGGACUUGGUCCUUUAAUGUGGAGCAUGAGUUUGAUCUGAGCAAUCCCACCACACCCCAAAUCUCCCCAUUUAGCCCCUACUUCCAUUUUUAUUGUUAACACACAAUGGGUUUGCUGUGUCAACCUCAGCCAAUAACCUUAUCAACAUGUGCAAUGCAAAUAAAUGACCUAGCUGGGCCAUUUUUGUUCUGCGUUUUGAAGUUUAAAAACAUGAAUAUGCUUGUGUUGAAAUGUAGGAAAGGAUUUCACUUCUGAGUGAUGUUUGUGCUGCUUUCUUCCCGUAAAAAAACAAUGUCACUUCCUGACAUCAUCAUUAUUGUGAAAUUGGCUUUUAUUACUUCAAUGGAAUACAUUGCAAAUAGCUAUCAGGGUAUGAAAGUGAUAUUGGAGACAGGGAAAUGGAUAAAUUAAAACAAUGUUUUGUUUGAAACAUUUUGAUUAGAGAGGUUAAACUAAUAUGAUUUCCAUCUUGAAAAAUAUUCCAUUUUCAUAUUGCAUUUACUAUUAGACAUGUAAAACGGGAGCGAAGAUGGAAUUACCCUUAUAGCUGACCUAUAUUUAUGACUUGAUAAAAGUACUGUUUGUACAGAUCCGCUUGUAAAAACAAGUCUGCUUUUGUUACUGGCAGUGGAGACUGCAUGCAUGAGCUAUCUCUGGGCAGAAACAUGUGGCAUGUGGGGAGUGUAUUCACUCUUCAUCUAUAAACAGGUUUUUCAAGCUCAGGCAGGUUGACGGAAACAAAAGAGACUCAUUGUGAGAGGCAAGAGGGUGAAAACCUGUUGAAGAGUUGAUUCGGGCUCUCAUUAUAGCAUUUACACAUCAAUGGAAAGAGCCAGUCAGCUGGAAGAUGAUUUGAAGUAGUUUGUUUGCUAUAUAUGACAAAAUAUAGAGAUUGAAAGAUACUGUAAAUAAUAGAAAACAGUUAUUUUAUUUGUUUAUUUUUUUUUUUUUUUAAAAGCCCAACCCAAGAAGAAUGUGGAGCACAGAAACUUCGCACAGUAUAGUUUGAAUCUGGAUGAUUCUAAAUUACUGUUACAUUCGUUGAUGUUUUAAGGCAACAGUACAGACCCUAAAUAAUAACAUUUCUUGGUUAUAUGUUGUUAUUUUAGUUCUUUACUACCCUAUAAAGCUAAAAGAGGAGAUUUCCACCACUUAUAAAAUAUUUUGUCAGCCACAUAUGGUAAAAGUUAGCUACCGUUACUUUUUUUUUUUUUUUUUUACAUUUUUUUAACAUAUCUGAUAUACUAUUAUUUAACCUACAUUGUUUUUCUUGAAAUUUUGUUUCUCAUUUAGGGUCAUGAACAUGCAUUUCAACAUGCUGAUGUGUUGUGAAAUGUGCAUACAGAAAUUGUAUACGUUCGUACUGUUCGUGGGUCAGUUUGGCCCGUAUAGACAGCUGUUCAAAAUCAACUACAGACACAAAAUACUAAACACUUCUGUGUUGUAUGUCUGAACUCCUCAGCUCUAGUCCUGAAGUGCCAGUGUCUUACUGAGUUUAACAACCUUUUAUUUUCAAAGUUUGUGAAAAUAUAAAGUUGUUUUACCCGUUAACUGUCUGUCCCACUUUUUGAGCAUAGAUAUGACUUUUCUAACUUAAAUUGUUAAAAAUCUUGAUCAGACUGAAGUUUGGUAUCUUUUUAAAGGCAACACUUCACAGAUUAUUGUAGAAGUAACAAAAAGUUGUAAAUGUUCAACUCUAAAACUUCGAGAAAAGCAAAGCUUAAUAUUUAAACAAGUUCUGUGCUGAAUUUUAGGUUAUCUGAAAAAAAAAACAAAAAAACAACUUUCAGUAAGAUGUUUUGUGCGCAGUACCAAACUUCUCCACUAGAUGACAUCCAGACUCCACCGAUGACCAUAUAAGGACUCUUCAGUUUGCAUUUGGUUUGAGUGAUCUGAACCAUAUAUUUCCAUACUUUUCAAAAUAUAUAUGAAGUAGACUUCCUAUUCAGAAGAAGUUUUGGCAGUAAUGUUAAUAUCUGAUUUAAAUUCAAUGUGUUAUAGUUUGGCACCACAUCACAAAUGAAGAAUCUAUCGCUAUUUAUCUAUUGCUCUGUCAUUUCUUUUGAGAAUCAGUCACCAAAUAUGAAAACUAGAGUCAGAAAGCUUUCAAAUGAUAUAUAUAUAUAUAAUAGUGGUUAAAAACAUUUUUAUAAAUCAUAAAUUCGUAUAUUUAUUCUUUGUAGUGUGUGAAUAAAGUAUUGAUAUUAAAAGUUAAUCAUGAUUGUGUGUUUUUUUUUCAUAGUGUGAUUUUUGGGGAAUUGUAUUGAAUCCAAUUAGGGUGAAUUUGGCCCGGACCAUACAGGCUGUAACCAGAAAUCAAACAGUUCAUGAGGGUUAAACUUCAAAAAGAUACAUAUAUUUAUGUGUUCUUUAAGGCCUGCUUCAGUAUACUACGUUAAGUUAAACAAGCAUUUAAAAAUGUAACUUGCUUGAUGUCUGGUUACAUGUGCUUCAUAAUCUGAGGUUUUUUUUUUUGUACUGUUACUUUUGUAACAUUACCCUCAUUACAGUUAUAUGGCACAGGUUUUAUAGGCCUAUGUGUAAUGUUUGUCUUAAUUGCACCCAAGUUUGUCUUGUUAAUCGAAUCCAGACUGUGUCUGACAACACAAACCAGUCACCUCAUAUCUUCUAUGAUCUUUUGUACUGAAAACACACAGAAGGCGAUCCUUAUAAAAUGAGAUGACUAAGAUCUAAGAUUCAUGAUCUACAAAAAAUUUGUCUAAUCAAUUGAUUCCAAAAAGUAUCAAUUCUUCAAUACCAAGGCGCUCGGGAAUCGAGAAUCAAUUCCAAAAUCAGGAGUCCAAUGUUAACUUGUUUCGAUGCAUCAGUAUUUUUGAGUGGAUUUGAGGGAAAAUUUAUAGAAUUGGGUAAAAGGAGAAUUAUAACACUAUUCCAGACUAGACUCAUAGUUACUGAGAGAGCAAGAGUAAUACUGACAUCUAGUGUCUAAAUUGCAUUAUAAACAAUCACCAAGGAUUGUUGUGGCAGAUUUAGUAGUUUAUGCCUACAUGAAGUUUACAGACUUGAAUUUGAUUUACAAUAAUCCUAAAUUGAUAUUAAAUUUAAUUUGGUAUUGGCAUUUCAAUCACAAAACCCCGGAGAUCCAAUCUGAGCCCCUCGCAAACCCCUGAUUUGGAAACCUUGAUCUAGAGGAUUAAAGGACUAAAUGAUCUUGAGCAAUAUUUUAUUUACUUCUUGCUCAGGAGUGGAUUGAACCCACAAUAUUAUGCUUGUUCUCCAUCUCCUUUCGUUGUCUGUCGAGUGGCAGUCGCUAGUACACCACAGUUCAUCGAACGUUUGGCGUCGUUCCCUUCCGUUCUGGACUCCAUAUCCCAUCAUCCUCCUUGUUUCCACUCCUGCACUCACUUCCUCGUCAUCUCCCCAUCAUCACGGAUUACCGGCACCUGCUCCUGAUCAUCUGCAUCCCUUUAUAAUGGACUCACUCCCUUCACUCCUUGUCUGUUCUAUUGUUUGCUAAAGUGUGUUUUGGUUGUGUUCCUUCGCCUUCGUUGAAUAAAUACCCUGUUUUGUAGACAUCCGUUCAUGCUUCGUCUCUUCUGCAACCGACACCAUAACAGUCUGAUUAUCAAUUAAAAAUAAAAACGGAUUUUUUUUUUUUUUUUUU